CAAUAGCGUAUAUUAACGUUGUUGCAGUUAAAAAGCUCGUAGUUGGAUUUCUGGAGGGAGCGUCGGCCCGUAUUUACGAGUGCGUGACGUCUCUGUCCAUCCUUGCGGGAAGGCACGGCAUUGAUUUGUUGUGUCGGAUCGCAUCAUUUACUGUGAAAAAAUUAGAGUGUUCAAAGCAGGCUUUCGCUUGAAUACAUUAGCAUGGAAUAAUAAGAUAGGACUUUGGUGCUAUUUUGUUGGUUGAGCCUAAAGUAAUGAUUAAUAGGGAUAGUUGGGGGCACCUGUAUUGCGUUGUCAGAGGUGCAAUUCUUGGAUUUACGCAAGACAAACAGCUGCGAAAGCGUCUGCCAAGGAUGUUUUCAUUAA
rnacentral:rRNA from 1 species